GCUUGUUGGUGGGGUAACGGCCUACCAAGGCGACGAUGUCUAGGGGCUCUGAGAGGAGAAUCCCCCACACUGGUACUGAGACACGGACCAGACUCCUACGGGAGGCAGCAGUAAGGAAUAUUGGUCAAUGGAGGGAACUCUGAACCAGCCAUGCCGCGUGCAGGAAGACGGCCCUACGGGUUGUAAACUGCUUUUGCACGGGAAUAACCCUCAUUAUGUAUAAUGAGCUGAAUGUACCGUGAGAAUAAGGAUCGGCUAACUCCGUGCCAGCAGCCGCGGUAAUACGGAGGAUCCGAGCGUUAUCCGGAAUUAUUGGGUUUAAAGGGUGCGCAGGCGGGGAUCUAAGUCAGGGGUGAAAGACGGUGGCUCAACCAUCGCAGUGCCUUUGAUACUGGAUUUCUUGAAUGUACCUGAGGUAGGCGGAAUGUGGCAAGUAGCGGUGAAAUGCAUAGAUAUGCCGCAGAACACCGAUUGCGAAGGCAGCUUACCAAAGUAUGAUUGACGCUGAGGCACGAAAGCGUGGGGAUCGAACAGGAUUAGAUACCCUGGUAGUCCACGCCCUAAACGAUGAACACUCGAUGUCGGCGAUAGACAGUCGGCGUCCAAGCGAAAGCGUUAAGUGUUCCACCUGGGGAGUACGCCCGCAAGAUUAAAACUCAAAUG
rnacentral:rRNA from 1 species